AAAGCUCAUUAGAGACACCCUCUCCCUUUGAAGAAGCUGUUUCAUGUGCCGCUUUCAAUCAGUCACGAAGCCGCUUUGCUCCAAAGAGCUGGGACUGCAGGAGGGUACGUCUGUGAGGCUGAAGGGUGUCCUGGAUGCCCUUCCAGAGGACAGAGUCUCUGGGAGCUCAGGAGGGAGGACCAGGCAGGAGCAGACAGCAGGAUGCUGUCUCUAGUCGCGUCUGGCUGUGUGCCUGAACGUGUGUGGUGCUCACCCUCUCCCGGGAGGACUAGCAAGAUCCUGUGGCUGCAGUGACCUAGUUCAGAGACCUUUGUGCUGGCAUCGGGGACCUUCAUGUGACCGGCAAGCCACUCAGUUUCCCAUGGUUGCAUCAUGUUUUGGGGGGCAUGAGGAGCUUAGCUGAAGACCCACAGGAAGCCAAAACCACUGUGGACUUGCCUGUAGAGCAACGUCAGUUUCCAGCACCAGCCUUGGCGACGGCCACUCAGGGUGCUCAGGCACUUACUGCCCGAUUUUCAGGGCAGCCUGCAGUCCCCUGUGGUCUGCCCAGCAAUCCAGGCUGAGGCUCUACCCAGCCUCCCUCCAGACACCAGCAGCCAGCUAAUCCUGGUGGUCUAGCUGCCUUCCAGGUCCUGAGGGCUCAUCUGCACACUCACAGCCCUUCCUGCCUCACCCACAGCCGACCACCCUUGGAGAUGAAAAUGCCAGCACCUGGGGAAGCCGAAGGCCUGCCCCCAUGACCACGGUUGGUCCUGCCGCCACAGGGCAGAGUCCACUCUGCGCUGGCUUGGUGAUGCGGCAUCAGGAAGCCCUGGCACUGACUUCUGCUGUUCCCACAGAAGCAGAUGCUGAGGAGGGGUACAGAGAAAGGCUGAGGGGCUUCCCUCGCUCUCUAAUGCUGGGAUUCAUGUACGCACAGGGGCAGGCCAUCACCCAGUCAGACCACACGUCAUGUGUUUUGUAAAGGUGGCCACAUUCUGGUGUGUGUGUGUGUGUCUGUCUGUCUGUCUCCUUCUGUCAGAUUGACUGACCUCUGACCUCCAGGACAGAGGCAAGCUCCAUGCCUGGUCACAUUAGAUACAGUGCUGCACUGGCUUGUCCCUGGUGAAAGGAUGGGAAACUAUCCUCAGUCAACAGUGCUGGGCCAACUGCUCAUGAGAACAGAACCCCAGAGGAGAGGGCACUGCAUCAGGUCUUAUUGCAGGCAGCACAGGAAGCUGCCUGUUGGCCUCUGCAGACCCUCAGUGCUCUGCCAGCCUUCGGAUGGAAUGACCUGCAGAGUGCUACUCAGAGGGCAGCGCUGAGGGCAUCCCGUGACCAGUCACAUCCUCAAUAAGAUGAGAAAACUGUAGGUGCCAACUUGCCCGGUCACUGGGACAGUGCCCAGACAGUGGCCACACUCCAGUCUACAGACAGAAGAGCAUCAGGACCUCUCCAACAUGGCAGAUCUCACGCGAUUAGCUGUUGGUCUGAGAAAAACACAAGGGUGGAGGAAGAGGAAACCAACUCCUCCUGCCCAUGCCCAGGAGACCGUCUCUGUCCCUGGAUGUGUGUGGGAAGAACAGCACCUUAACAUCUCUGGCUUGAACGCUGCUGAGGGUGGGACUUUCCAGCCUGGGUAUGAGCAUGAGCCAGUUCUCUAGCUAGAUUCUUACUCUGUGGGAUUUGUGUCUCUGGAGACGCUGACUUCAGCUGGGCUUGAAGCCCGGCCCUGACACUCAUUAGCCCUGGGAACCGUUUCCCUCUGUCCCUUCUUUGGCAGGAUGGGCACCAGGCUGCACCUCUGUGGUUCAGUGCUGUGGUAAGGAUUUCAGAGAGCAGAGGACAAGCGUGUGGGUCCAGGCAAGGCUGUAUGCUCCAUGAAGCUGUUGCUGAUUGGUGAUGUAUGUCACAGAAGUGUAAAGGUUGGUACUGGUUCCCACCAAGGGAGCCCACAAUCCUGGGCCCUGUGGUGACUCCAAGGAAUCGAGGAAUCAUACUCCACCUUCAGGGGCAGCUAGAAAACAAGUUAACCUGAGCCCAUAAGCACAUUCCCUGCAUGGAGGCUCAGUCUCAGAGGAUGUGCCCACAUCCUCUGAAAGAUCCUUCGCAUUUUAUGCAGCGCAAGCAUUAGGCGCGAUGGUAUCCCUUCCCAGGAGGGGCUUCUUGACUGAUGCUGAGACUUUAUUUGGGAAUAAACUUCCUUUGGAAUAACAAAAGGCAACAGACAUCUUUAGGGCAGGUUGUAAUGGGUCUGCCUGGUGUCAAGAAGGGCACAUUUUCAGAAAGGCUGAGGACCAGGGUACCUGGAGGAAUCCCAGAGAGCAGAUAGUAUCUGCAAGGCAGAAAGACCACCUUGGCUCCAUGGCUGCUCAGCAGCCCACCCCCACAGGCCAAGGUCAAAUUAUACAGCCUUAUUAUUAUUUUCUGCUCAUCGGCUUCUCCAUGGUGACACUGGUUCCUUGACCUCUGAGCACUGCUUUGCCACAAACCGUGCCCAAAUUUUAGCUUAUUGACCAACUUUAGUGUAGCACUUUCCUCUAAGAAUGAAACAUUCCCUCCUUCAGGGAAAGCGUCUUUGCACAGAAAGUAAACAACUUACGGAAACUUACAACUAAACAGCUUUAGGAAAUCCCUGAAACUGAUAAGAUUCACUAGGCUCCUCCCUCUCAAGAGUACAAGUAAAGAAAGACUGCUGAGAUCCGCUGUCCUAUGUGUGAAGCUGCAAAGAAGAUCUGAUACAGCACAGCUUCCUGGAAGAAGCAGAAGUCCAGCUGAGCUGCUUGCAAGAGGUUUAGGCCAGAGUCUCUUGAAAGGGACACUCUCCAGCCUUUCGAACUGCCAGCAGGCUGUGCCAUGUGCUCCAGGUUCCCAGGUUUAUGAGCUGUCACCUGUGCUGGGGUGGGCUUUGAUGAUGGAUGAUGGCAGCUGUCUUUGAGACAUUUCUGCUCCUGUAAGUGACCCCUCACCCAUAUUCCUGUAAGUAACCCCAAUAAAACUUACUAGU